CGGAACACGGCAGUAUUAUCCGAGCCACCGAAGAAACGCUCGUUGACCAGCAGCAGCAGCGGCAAGUCAGAAAAUGUUGGCAGCCAUCGGCCUUUUCAUUAUGUACGGCAUCUUCACGAUCUACGCUGCACUGACGCUCUAUCAAGGCAUCUACGAUCUCUUCGUGUACAAUUAUGGACUUUACUCGAGAGUGGAAAAUUAAAAUUCUUUUGGCACUUACAUAACACACGUCGUGCCAUGCCGAAUGAAAAUAACGAGUGUACAAACGGACGCAAGAGAGAAACAGAGAGAGGGAGAGAGGCAGGUGGAUUUUUUCGCGUUAUCAAUUGGGCAUUCCACGGCCGAGAAACGAGUUUCGUACAAGGUUGCACUGGGGAGGCCUGUCGCAUAUAAUGACCGUAUUAUAACCAAAUAAUGUCUUCACAAAGUAGUCAACAUAGUCAAAUAAAUUCUUCAAUUUUUUCUUCGUUA